rnacentral:lncRNA from 1 species
AUGUGGGGAGCGCCUCUGCCCCACCGCCCUGUCUGGGAAGUGAGGAGCGUCUCCGCCCGGCAGCCACCCCGUCCGGGAGGGAGGAAAUUGUGAGCAGCAGCUCUAGAAAUACUGCAGGAUUCACCAGCCAAAACUGAUCUCUGCCAAUCAGUUCUGUGAGGCAAGACUCCAGGGUAGGUCUGGACCUACAUAAAGCCUCCAAAAAAGGUCUCCUUAUUUAUCAUCCAAGUACCAGAAAACUGGAUAAACUCUCAUCUGAGUACCAACCAAAGAUACCUCUUGUAUGAGAGGAUGAACAAAAACACAGGAUGACUGAUUUCUCUUACACCGAGACAGAAGCAGAAUUAAUCACUCUUGUCAACCUGACACAACUCUGCUCUGGAUAUUCCCAAAUGCCUCAAAGACACCUAGGUGAUUGUGAGAGAAUUCCCAGUGACCAUGGGCUGAUGUCUCAAUAAGCCAGGCUGGAGAGACUCAAUGAUAAGCCAGGCUGGAGAGACUCAAUGAUAAGCCAGGCUGGAGAGACUCAGGCUGACUCUAAGUAGAAAAUGGAACUGCCUUGGUGGAGCUCAAGAACCUGGAUCACCCAUUCUGAUUUGCUAGCAUUUGGGUAAGAGAAAGAAUGAAAAUAUUCUACUCCAGUAUCACAUUUUACAGGUAAAUAUAGUUGUGCACAUGGCUCUGGCUAUUUUGUGGACUUGAUGUCUCACUCCUAAGAUGUUUAUUUACACUUACAGAUUCUACCAUCAGAUUCUAUUUCCUCCUGGACACUCUUACAGUCUGACCCUUUUUUGUAAACCCCAGGCAGAAGCCAUACCUUAUCUGCAGAU